AGAAUAUUAAAAAUGAAUAAUACACAGGCUAUUUGUAGGUGAUUUAUAGUAAAAACUAAAUUAUGACUCAUUUUCAAGUGUUUAAUUUUAAUAAUAGGGCAUUAAUUUCAUGAAUUUCAACUCCUUGGGAUAAAUCAGCUAUUUGCACACAAAGCAAACAAACAAAAAUGAAUAGAAGCAGGUUUAGUUGUCUCAGUUUAAACAAGUCAAUAAUGAAAAUUGCAUUCAAGACUUAGGAUAGAAGGGUUUAGAUGUAAAGAAGCACUCUGAACAUUUUCUGUUUUUAACUCUUGGCAAAUACAUCUGACCGACCAUAGUCUUACUGGAUGACAUACAUUUGUUUUGUCUACCAUUCUGUCUAGCAACCACGGAAUAAAGAGGAUCCCAGAAAGAAUUACAAUUGCAUAGGCAUUGAUACAGCAGUGCUAAGAGGAAAAGUUAUAACUCAGCCUUAGAUUGCACCCUCAAGAAAUCAUGUUGGAUUUCACAACAGGUGUCAGCAUCACUGCUCUGCUGUGCUCUAAGAGGUAGGUCUCCUGGUCGUACAUGGUCUUUAGUGAUUUGCAGAAAGAAUUUCAACUCACUCCACUGCCAGUUGGUGCCUGUGUAACUUCGUAAAGGUAAGACACAGUUGUAGUUUAUCUUGUUGGCAAGUGACGGGACUUGUUUGUUCUCCAAUAAUCAUGUGGACUUACAUUGAAGGUUACUGCUAGGAACUGGGAACCAAAUGUGUGACUUGUGCGGCCUCAUUCCUGUGCUGAGAAAAUAGACAAGGGGAAAGAACAUACCAAAGCAAGAGUUACACAAAUAUAAAGUUCUAUUGUGAAUUUUAAAAAGGUAACUUAGGACUACAGAGAGACUGGCUGAUCAUUUUGAAACUUCAAGCUGACUAGGGGAAUAAUUUUGCUUUCACCCUGGUGAAAUCUUUGGAAUGGGAAGAUGAUUAUGGUCUUUAAAUGUGGCGAUUACGCACAUUUUCAAUGACAGCUUAAGUGAAACGCACCACAUUCAAUAUAACCUGUGAAAC
rnacentral:lncRNA from 1 species